rnacentral:rRNA from 3 species
CGCCCGGGAAUUACGAGUAAACUUAAAACCCAAAGGACUUGACGGUGUCCCAUUCCCCCUAGAGGAGCCUGUUCUUUAAUCGAUAACCCCCGCUUUACCUCACCACUUCUUGCUCAUUCAGCCUGUAUACCUCCGUCGUAAGCUUGCCCUGUGAACGUCUAUCGAGCAAGCCCAAGGGCCUCACNCACCAACACGUCAGGUCAAGGUGCAGUCCAUGAAGUGGGAAGCAAUGGGCUACAAUUUCUAAACUAGAACAAACGAAAUACUACAUGAAACAUAGUCAUGAAGGUGGAUUUAGCAGU